rnacentral:rRNA from 1 species
CCUACGGGGGGCUGCAGUGGGGAAUAUUGGGCAAUGGGCGCAAGCCUGAACCAGCAACGCCGCGUGAAGGAAGAAGGCUUUCGGGUUGUAAACUUCCUUUCUGAGGGACGAAGAAAGUGACGGUACCUCAGGAAUAAGCCACGGCUAACUACGUGCCAGCAGCCGCGGGAAUACGUAGGUGGCAAGCGUUAUCCGGAUUUAUUGGGUGUAAAGGGCGGGUAGGCGGGAAAGCACGUCAGAUGUGAAAACUCAGGGCUCAACCCUGGGCCUGCAUUUGAAACUGUUUUUCUUGAGUGCUGGAGAGGCAAUCGGAAUGCCGGGUGUAGCGGUGAAAUGCGUAGAGAUACGGAGGAACACCAGUGGCGAAGGCGGAUUGCUGGACAGUAACUGACGCUGAGGCGCGAAAGCGUGGGGAGCAAACAGGAUUAGAUACCCUUGUAGUC